rnacentral:rRNA from 1 species
AAAGCGAGCGGCGGAUGGGUGAGUAACACGUGGGGAACCUGCCCCUAAGUCUGGGAUACCAUUUGGAAACAGGUGCUAAUACCGGAUAAUAAAGCAGAUCGCAUGAUCAGCUUUUGAAAGGCGGCGUAAGCUGUCGCUAAGGGAUGGCCCCGCGGUGCAUUAGCUAGUUGGUAAGGUAACGGCUUACCAAGGCGACGAUGCAUAGCCGAGUUGAGAGACUGAUCGGCCACAUUGGGACUGAGACACGGCCCAAACUCCUACGGGAGGCAGCAGUAGGGAAUCUUCCACAAUGGACGCAAGUCUGAUGGAGCAACGCCGCGUGAGUGAAGAAGGUUUUCGGAUCGUAAAGCUCUGUUGUUGGUGAAGAAGGAUAGAGGUAGUAACUGGCCUUUAUUUGACGGUAAUCAACCAGAAAGUCACGGCUAACUACGUGCCAGCAGCCGCGGUAAUACGUAGGUGGCAAGCGUUGUCCGGAUUUAUUGGGCGUAAAGCGAGCGCAGGCGGAAAAAUAAGUCUAAUGUGAAAGCCCUCGGCUUAACCGAGGAACUGCAUCGGAAACUGUUUUUCUUGAGUGCAGAAGAGGAGAGUGGAACUCCAUGUGUAGCGGUGGAAUGCGUAGAUAUAUGGAAGAACACCAGUGGCGAAGGCGGCUCUCUGGUCUGCAACUGACGCUGAGGCUCGAAAGCAUGGGUAGCGAACAGGAUUAGAUACCCUGGUAGUCCAUGCCGUAAACGAUGAGUGCUAAGUGUUGGGAGGUUUCCGCCUCUCAGUGCUGCAGCUAACGCAUUAAGCACUCCGCCUGGGGAGUACGACCGCAAGGUUGAAACUCA